rnacentral:rRNA from 1 species
GAUGAACGCUGGCGGCGUGCCUAAUACAUGCAAGUCGAGCGAACAGACGAGGAGUUUGCUCCUCUGACGUUAGCGGCGGACGGGUGAGUAACACGUGGAUAACCUACCUAUAAUACUGGUAUAACUUCGGGAAACCGGAUCUAAUACCGGAUAAUAUAUUUAACCGCAUGGUUCAAUAGUGAAAGACGGUUUUGCUGUCACUUAUAGAUUGAUCCGCGCCGCAUUAGCUAGUUGGUUAGGUAACGGCUUACCAAGGCAACGAUGCGUAGCCGAACUGAGAGAGUGAUCGGCCACACGGGAACUGAGACACGGUCCAGACUCCUGCGGGAGGCAGCAGUAGGGAAUCUUACGCAAUGGGCGAGAGCCUGACGGAGCAACGCCGCGUGAGUGAUGAAGGUCUUCGGAUCGUAAAACUCUGUUAUUAGGGGAGAACAAAUGUGUAAGUAACUGUGCACGUAUUGACGGUACCUGAUGAGGAAGCCCCGGCUAACUACGUG